UAAUGUUUGCCGCCGGGUAGACUUUAAAACAUUGGUUUCGUAUCGUUAGGCCAUAGAAGAUACGAAAAUCAAUGUUUUUAUUUUG
rnacentral:ncRNA from 1 species